rnacentral:lncRNA from 1 species
CGGCCGCCGCGGCUCGAAGGCCGUGGGGACCCCAGGCCCCAGGGGAAAAGAAAGAGAAGAGAGAAGAGAGGGCGUCAGCGAGGGCCGGGGCGCGGGCGGCCGGCACAGAGAGAGAAACAACAGCCUCACACCCAAAUCGGUUUAAUUAGCUUUGGCGGAGACUACGCGGGCCGGGCCCGCCCGCCAGCCGGCCAGCGCCUGCGCUUUAAGCGGGCUGCGGCUCGGAUGCCCUGGGCACCCCACGCGCGGGCUCUGUGACUCUGGGUUUUGGUCUUUUUGUUUCGUCUUAAGAAACCAAACGGAACAGAAAGGAAAGGAAAUUGAAAAGAAACGGAAUUUUUUUUUCUACUGGUUUAAGGCUUUAAAAACAUACAACAGCAGCAUUUAAACAAACCUAACAACAAUAUCUUUUAGGGUUUUUUUUUUAUAUAUAUAUUUCUUUUUGCUUUUUUUUUUUUUUUUUGCUUUUGUUUUUAAAAAAGAAGAUAGCAUACCACGGAAUUCAGGCAACUUACAUCAACAA